UACGUAGGAUGCAAGCGUUGUCCGGAUUUACUGGGCGUAAAGCGCGCGCAGGCGGCACUCUAAGUACGUCGUGAAAUCUCCUUGCUCAACGGGGAGGGUGCGAAGUAGACUAGGGAGCUAGAGGUCGGUAGAGGGGGGUGGAAUUGCUGGUGUAGCGGUGAAAUGCGUAGAGAUCGGCAGGAAGACCAAGGGGGAAGCCAGGCACCUGGGCCCGUACUGACACUCAUGGACGACCGCGUGGGGAGCGAACCGG
rnacentral:rRNA from 1 species